CGCCAGACUCCUACGGGAGGCAGCAGUGGGGAAUAUUGGACAAUGGGGGGAACCCUGAUCCAGCGACGCCGCGUGAGUGAAGAAGUAUUUCGGUAUGUAAAGCUCUAUCAGCAGGGAAGAAAGAAAUGACGGUACCUGACUAAGAAGCCCCGGCUAACUACGUGCCAGCAGCCGCGGUAAUACGUAGGGGGCAAGCGUUAUCCGGAUUUACUGGGUGUAAAGGGAGCGUAGACGGCGAUGCAAGUCUGAAGUGAAAGGCGGGGGCCCAACCCCCGGACUGCAUUGGAAACUGCGAGGCUGGAGUGUCGGAGAGGCAGGCGGAAUUCCUAGUGUAGCGGUGAAAUGCGUAGAUAUUAGGAGGAACACCAGUGGCGAAGGCGGCCUGCUGGACGAUGACUGACGCUGAGGCUCGAAAGCGUGGGGAGCAAACAGGAUUAGAUACCCUGGUAUAC
rnacentral:rRNA from 1 species